UACGUAGGUGGCAAGCGUUGUCCGGAUUUACUGGGUGUAAAGGGCGUGCAGCCGGGCUGACAAGUCAGAUGUGAAAUCCCGCGGCUCAACCGCGGGACUGCAUUUGAAACUGUCAGUCUUGAGUACCGGAGAGGUCAUCGGAAUUCCUUGUGUAGCGGUGAAAUGCGUAGAUAUAAGGAAGAACACCAGUGGCGAAGGCGGAUGACUGGACGGCAACUGACGGUGAGGCGCGAAAGCGUGGGGAGCAAACAGG
rnacentral:rRNA from 1 species